UACGUAGGGGGCAAGCGUUGUCCGGAAUCAUUGGGCGUAAAGAGCGUGUAGGCGGCCAGAUAAGUCCGCUGUGAAAUCUCGAGGCUCAACUUCGAGCUGUCGGUGGAAAUUGUCUGGCUAGAGUCCGGAAGAGGAGAAUGGAAUUCCUGGUGUAGCGGUGGAAUGCGCAGAUAUCAGGAGGAACACCUAUAGCGAAGGCAGCUCGCUGGGACGACACUGACGCUGAGACGCGAAAGCGUGGGGAGCGAACAGG
rnacentral:rRNA from 1 species